rnacentral:rRNA from 1 species
UGGGGAAUCUUGGACAAUGGGCGCAAGCCUGAUCCAGCCAUGCCGCGUGGAUGAUGAAGGCCUUAGGGUUGUAAAAUCCUUUCGUUGGGGACGAUAAUGACGGUACCCAAAGAAGAAGCUCCGGCUAACUUCGUGCCAGCAGCCGCGGUAAUACGAAGGGGGCUAGCGUUGUUCGGAUUUACUGGGCGUAAAGCGCGUGUAGGCGGAUUUGUAAGUUGGGGGUGAAAUCCCGAGGCUCAACCUCGGAACUGCCUCCAAAACUACAAGUCUGGACCUAAGUAGAGGCAAGUGGAAUUGCGAGUGUAGAGGUGAAAUUCGUAGAUAUUCGCAGGAACACCAGUGGCGAAGGCGACUUGCUGGACUUAUGGUGACGCUGAGACGCGAAAGCGUGGGGAGCAAACAGGAUUAGAUACCCUUGUAGUCCCUGAGCGGGCUGGCAAGGCGCAU